rnacentral:misc_RNA from 1 species
GCAAACUUUGGAAGUGCAUAACCUACAAAAUUACAAUUUUAAUCCAAGUUGAAUUACAUAUAAAUCCAAACUUAAGAAAUCAAAUAAGAGCAGAACUCAAACAUACAUACAUAUUGAACAAGACACACUUCACUAUGUGUCAAUAUGUGAGUUUCCUUUCAUCAACAAAGUCUAAUUAAAAGACUUUGAGGAAGCCCCAUACUGUGUCUGCACAAGACACAAUAACGCACCAUUGUGCAACACAAGGCACCAGUACAAGCAUAGCAAAUAGGUAGAUAGUAAGCCUAAGCCCUCAAUCAGUAGUACAUACAUGGUACGAGCUGCAACCAUCUCAUAUACAUUGGCAUCACACCCAAGGUUCCCAUCAGCAUCACACAAUCCAAAGAAGCAUGAGUCAGAGAAUUUUUUUUUGAUAGAAAAUUCGAAUAAUAAGAUUUCACAUAUAGACAUUUGUAGUCCUAAAACUAAUCCUUAACACCUUUAGGACAUUGAUUUCCAACUAGUCCCAAUCCUCUAAGGAU